rnacentral:rRNA from 1 species
AAUGGGGGCAACCCUGACGCAGCAAUGCCGCGUGAGUGAAGAAGGCCUUCGGGUCGUAAAGCUCUUUAUGGGGGAAGAUGAUGACGGUACCCCAUGAAUAAGCACCGGCUAACUACGUGCCAGCAGCCGCGGUAAUACGUAGGGUGCGAGCGUUGUUCGGAAUUACUGGGCGUAAAGGGCGUGCAGGCGGAUUGGCAAGCCGGAGGUGAAAGCCCGGGGCUCAACCCCGGAGGGGCUUUCGGAACUGCCAGUCUUGAGAGGGUCAGGGGCCAGCGGAAUUCCUGGUGUAGAGGUGAAAUUCGUAGAGAUCAGGAGGAACACCGGCGGCGAAAGCGGCUGGCUGGGGCCACUCUGACGCUGAGGCGCGAAAGCGUGGGGAGCAAACAGGAUU